AACGAACGCUGGCGGCAUGCCUAACACAUGCAAGUCGAACGAGACCUUCGGGUCUAGUGGCGCACGGGUGCGUAACGCGUGGGAACCUGCCCUUAGGUUCGGAAUAACUCAGAGAAAGUGGUGCUAAUACCGGAUCAUGUCUUCUGACCAAAGAUUUAUCGCCUUUAGAUGGGCCCGCGUUGGAUUAGCUAGUUGGUGGGGUAAAGGCCUACAAAGGCGACGAUCCAUAGCUGGUCUGAGAGGAUGAUCAGCAACCCUGGGACUGGGACCCGGCCCGGAUCCUUCGGGGAGGCCGAAGGGGGGAAGAUGGGACAAUGGGCGAAAGCUGGAGCAAGCCGGGCCGUGGAAGUGAUGAAGGCGUGAGGGUUGUAAGGCUAUUUAACCAGGGAGGUUAAUAAGAGACCCGGGAAAAUAAGCUCGGCUUAAUUCGUG
rnacentral:rRNA from 1 species